ACACACCCAUGUCCUAUGUUAUACAAACAAAAAUAAAAAUAAACUCAAAAACUAUGAAUAUCCAAGCUCAACAAUGAUAGGUCAGCAUCUCAUUUCAACUAUGUGUCAACUGCAGAAGGCUCUCAAUCUGUAAACAAAACUCAACAACAAAAAAUGGAUAAUAUCUUAAAUCCACUCUUCAAUUUCAUUUUCCUUGAAAUGAAAAUCCAUUUUCUAUUCUGAAUCAAAAUUUCUCUAUGCAGAAAGAACUAUCAAUUCUGUUACUUUCUUCUACAUAUUAUAAAUGGCGUGUAUAGCUUCAGUAUCGUUCAUGGGAAUAACUCAAUCCGUAGACAGGAAUUUGACUCGUAGUUUCGGUAGCAAUUUUGAUGCAUUCAAGUUUCGUGGCAAACAUUUUUUCACUUAACUUUCCAGCUUCUAGUCCUCGUAUGACAGCUCACUGCAUGUCCACUGCCACGGCUUUCUUAAAUGACAUUGUUGCCCAAUUCCGAGUAUAUACAGUACUGUAUUACAAGAACUUAUCAUACAGCAACAUUCGUGUGGCCCUGUUUGCACUGGGUUUUGUCACUGUAUAUGAUCAACUCAUGGAUGGGUACCCAAGUGACGAAGAUCGAGACACUAUUCUUAAAGCUUACAUCGAACCUUUGAAUGAGGAUCCUGAUCAAUAUAGGCUGAUGCACAAAAAAUGGAAGAAUGGGCUAGUGCACAAAAUGCCAGUACCAUAGUUGAUUUUGCAUCCAGGGAAGGAAAGAUUGAUGGCAUAUGAAGGACAUUGCAGAAAGAGCUCAGACCAAGGGAAGUUUCAGCUAUAGUCGGCCCUUUGCAUUCGAUCUCUUUCACCUCUGGAGCCAGCAAAUGCAACCAAGCCUAAUAUUUUUCGGGAAGUAAGAAAAGCGUUGAUCGUGAUCUUGAUUGGUUCAAGCAAAAGAGCUGUUAAAAGAAUAUGUUGACAGGUAAUAAUUUCCUCCUAAGUCCAUAAUCACUUAAAAUGUUCCAUCUAACAAUUCAGAGAAUCCUUUCAAUGUUAGGGAGAAAAAGUAAAGGGAAGAAACGGGUAGAAUCUCAGAAUGCAAAAGAAACCAUUACAUGAUACUCUGGAGAAUACCAAUACGCUGGGCAGUAAUGCAAAAUUUAUCUGUUACCAAUUAGUAAAUAUCCCCGGAGGAACAAACUAGUAAGCCAAUCAUAGCUUUACCAUAGAUGACAAUUAUUAGAAUUUGGUUGUGAUCCGAAUUCUUUGUUAAAUAUAAUUGAGAGUUCUAACUAAAUCGCACAUUAGGAAAAAUGCUAUUUGGAAUACUAUUAUGAAAUCCUGUUCAAAUUUACUAGGCAAAUUCUAAUUGAAGUUCUCUUUGGAAGUCCAUUGGGAGUAGGAAUUUGUGUUGGACUUGAAGAGGAUAUUGGGAUGAAGAAAAUCAAGAUUUUGGAGUAAAGGACCCAAAAGUGGGCGUCGUGGCACCAAUGUUGCGACGUCGCAGCGCCGGGCCUGUGGUGCCGUAGCACCACCAGUCUGUUUCGGCUCUUGCGCAGUUUUUCCUCCUCUACUCCACUUUGCACUUUGUUUCUUACAUUCUACUUCAACUACAACUUUACUAUGAGGGUUUGGACAUCCCCUUUAUAUAGUUAGCUUGUCAUUAUGAU